CCUACGGGAGGCAGCAGUGGGGAAUUUUGGACAAUGGGCGAAAGCCUGAUCCAGCCAUUCCGCGUGCAGGAUGAAGGCCCUCGGGUUGUAAACUGCUUUUGUACAGAACGAAAAGGUUUCUACUAAUACUAGGAGCUCAUGACGGUACUGUAAGAAUAAGCACCGGCUAACUACGUGCCAGCAGCCGCGGUAAUACGUAGGGUGCAAGCGUUAAUCGGAAUUACUGGGCGUAAAGCGUGCGCAGGCGGUUAUAUAAGUCAGAUGUGAAAUCCCCGGGCUCAACCUGGGAACUGCAUUUGAGACUGUAUAGCUAGAGUACGGUAGAGGGGGAUGGAAUUCCGCGUGUAGCAGUGAAAUGCGUAGAUAUGCGGAGGAACACCGAUGGCGAAGGCAAUCCCCUGGACCUGUACUGACGCUCAUGCACGAAAGCGUGGGGAGCAAACAGGAUUAGAUACCCUGGUAGUCCACGCCCUAAACGAUGUCAACUGGUUGUUGGGUCUUAACUGACUCAGUAACGAAGCUAACGCGNGAGUAGACGCGNGGNGGUAACGGCGCGAGUUAGUAAGUUAAAGUUAAGUAGUUAGNGNGNGAGAGCGACGACGACGACGAGGAGGAGGAG
rnacentral:rRNA from 1 species